AACGAACGCUGGCGGCAUGCCUAACACAUGCAAGUCGAACGAGACCUUCGGGUCUAGUGGCGCACGGGUGCGUCACGCGUGGGAACCUGCCCUUAGGUUCGGAAUAACUCCCCGAAAGGGGUGCUAAUACCGGAUAAUGUCUUCGGACCAAAGAUUUAUCGCCUUUGGAUGGGCCCGCGUUGGAUUAGCUAGUUGGUAGGGUAAAAGCCUACCAAGGCUACGAUCCAUAGCUGGUCUGAGAGGAUGAUCGGCCACACUGGGACUGAGACACGGCCCAGACUCCUACGGGAGGCAGCAGUGGGGAAUAUUGGACAAUGGGCGAAAGCAUGAUCCAGCAAUGCCGCGUGAGUGAUGAAGGCCUUAGGGAAGUAAAGCUCUUUUACCCGGGAUGAUAAUGACAGUACCGGGAGAAUAAGCUCCGGCUAACUCCGUG
rnacentral:rRNA from 1 species